AUGGCUGCCUCACAAGGUUUGGAGCUGUGCCUGGGACUUUGUAGGCCAGUUCA
ensembl:miRNA